rnacentral:misc_RNA from 1 species
GAUGAAGAACGCAGCGAAAUGCGAUAAGUAAUGUGAAUUGCAGAAUUCAGUGAAUCAUCGAAUCUUUGAACGCACAUUGCGCCCGCCAGUAUUCUGGCGGGCAUGCCUGUUCGAGCGUCAUUACAACCCUCAGGCCCCCGGGCCUGGCGUUGGGGAUCGGCGGAAGCCCCCUGUGGGCACACGCCGUCCCUCAAAUACAGUGGCGGUCCCGCCGCAGCUUCCAUUGCGUAGUAGCUAACACCUCGCAACUGGAGAGCGGCGCGGUCAUGCCGUAAAACACCCAACUUCUGAAUGUUGACCUCGAAUCAGGUAGGAAUACCCGCUGAACUUAAGCAUAUCAAUAAGCGGAGGA